rnacentral:rRNA from 1 species
UACAUGCAGUCGACGAGCUUCCGUUGAAUGACGUGCUUGCACUGAUUUCAACAAUGAAGCGAGUGGCGAACUGGUGAGUAACACGUGGGGAAUCUGCCCAGAAGCAGGGGAUAACACUUGGAAACAGGUGCUAAUACCGUAUAACAACAAAAUCCGCAUGGAUUUUGUUUGAAAGGUGGCUUCGGCUAUCACUUCUGGAUGAUCCCGCGGCGUAUUAGUUAGUUGGUGAGGUAAAGGCCCACCAAGACGAUGAUACGUAGCCGACCUGAGAGGGUAAUCGGCCACAUUGGGACUGAGACACGGCCCAAACUCCUACGGGAGGCAGCAGUAGGGAAUCUUCCACAAUGGACGAAAGUCUGAUGGAGCAAUGCCGCGUGAGUGAAGAAGGGUUUCGGCUCGUAAAACUCUGUUGUUAAAGAAGAACACCUUUGAGAGUAACUGUUCAAGGGUUGACGGUAUUUAACCAGAAAGCCACGGCUAACUACGUGCCAGCAGCCGCGGUAAUACGUAGGUGGCAAGCGUUGUCCGGAUUUAUUGGGCGUAAAGCGAGCGCAGGCG